rnacentral:rRNA from 1 species
AUUGAACGCUGGCGGCAUGCUUUACACAUGCAAGUCGAACGGCAGCACGGGUGCUUGCACCUGGUGGCGAGUGGCGAACGGGUGAGUAAUGUAUCGGAACGUACCCGGCAAUGGGGGAUAACGUAGCGAAAGUUACGCUAAUAACGCAUAUGCCCUGAGGGGGAAAGUGGGGGAUCGCAAGACCUCACGUUGUCGGAGCGGCCGAUAUCAGAUUAGCUAGUUGGUGGGGUAAAGGCCUACCAAGGCGACGAUCUGUAGCUGGUCUGAGAGGACGACCAGCCACACUGGGACUGAGACACGGCCCAGACUCCUACGGGAGGCAGCAGUGGGGAAUUUUGGACAAUGGGGGCAACCCUGAUCCAGCCAUGCCGCGUGAGUGAAGAAGGCCUUCGGGUUGUAAAGCUCUUUCGGACAGAAAGAAAUCGCCACUUCUAAUAAAGGUGGUGGAUGACGGUACUGUAAGAAGAAGCACCGGCUAACUACGUGCCAGCCGCCGCGGUAAAAC